GAAUAUUGCACAAUGGGCGCAAGCCUGAUGCAGCGACGCCGCGUGGGGGAUGACGGCCUUCGGGUUGUAAACCUCUUUCGACAGGGACGAGGCUUUUUGUGACGUUACCUGUAUAAGAAGCACCGGCUAACUACGUGCCAGCAGCCGCGGUAAUACGUAGGGGGCGAGCGUUGUCCGGAAUUACUGGGCGUAAAGAGCUCGUAGGUGGUUUGUCGCGUCGUCUGUGAAAUUCCGGGGCUUAACUCCGGGCGUGCAGGCGAUACGGGCAAUACUUGAGUGCUGUAGGGGAGACUGGAAUUCCUGGUGUAGCGGUGAAAUGCGCAGAUAUCAGGAGGAACACCAAUGGCGAAGGCAGGUCUCUGGGCAGUAACUGACGCUGAGGAGCGAAAGCAUGGGUAGCGAACA
rnacentral:rRNA from 1 species